rnacentral:rRNA from 1 species
CAGCACGAAUAGUAAUAUUUGGUGGCGACCGGCAAACGGGUGCGGAACACGUACGCAACCUUCCCAGAACAGGUGAAUAGCCCUCCGAAAGGAGGAUUAAUACACCGUGAGAUAAUGGUGUGGCAUCAUACUAUUAUUAUAGGUAGCAAUAUCGGUUUUGGAUGGGCGUGCGCCUGAUUAGGUAGUUGGCGGGGUAACGGCCCACCAAGCCUCCGAUCAGUAACUGGUGUGAGAGCACGACCAGUCACACGGGCACUGAGACACGGGCCCGACUCCUACGGGAGGCAGCAGUAAGGAAUAUUGGUCAAUGGACGGAAGUCUGAACCAGCCAUGCCGCGUGAAGGAUGAAGGCCCUCUGGGUUGUAAACUUCUUUUAUCUGGGACGAAAAAAGGGGAAUCUUCCUCACUUGACGGUACCAGAGGAAUAAGCACCGGCUAACUCCGUGCCAGCAGCCGCGGUAAUACGGAGGGUGCAAGCGUUAUCCGGAUUUACUGGGUUUAAAGGGUGCGUAGGUGGAUAAGUAAGUCAGUGGUGAAAUCUCCGGGCUUAACCCGGAAACUGCCAUUGAUACUAUUUGUCUUGAAUACUUUGGAGGUAAGCGGAAUAUGUCAUGUAGCGGUGAAAUGCUUAGAUAUGACAUAGAACACCAAUUGCGAAGGCAGCUUACUACACAGUGAUUGACACUGAGGCACGAAAGCGUGGGGAUCAAACAGGAUUAGAUACCCUGGUAGUCCACGCCCUAAACGAUGGAUACUCGACAUUAGCGAUACACAGUUAGUGUCUGAGCGAAAGCAUUAAGUAUCCCACCUGGGAAGUACGAUCGCAAGAUUGAAACUCAAAUG